UUGGGAGCUCUCCCAUAUGGUCGACCUGCAGGCGGCCGCGAAUUCACUAGUGAUUCGUAUUACCGCGGCUGCUGGCACGGAGUUAGCCGGAGCUUAUUCUCCCGGUACUGUCAUUAUCAUCCCGGGUAAAAGAGCUUUACGACCCUAAGGCCUUCAUCACUCACGCGGCAUUGCUGGAUCAGGCUUGCGCCCAUUGUCCAAUAUUCCCCACUGCUGCCUCCCGUAGGAGUCUGGGCCGUGUCUCAGUCCCAGUGUGGCUGAUCAUCCUCUCAGACCAGCUAAGGAUCGUCGGCUUGGUAGGCCUUUACCCCACCAACUACCUAGUCCUACGCGGGCUCAUCCCUGGCCGAUAAAUCUUUGGUCCGAAGACAUCAUCCGGUAUUAGCAGUCAUUUCUAACUGUUAUUCCGAAGCCAAGGGCAGAUUCCCACGCGUUACGCACCCGUGCGCCACUAACCCCGAAGGGUUCGUUCGACUUGCAUGUGUUAGGCAUGCCGCCAGCGUUCGUUCUGAGCCAUGAUCAAACUCUAAUCGAAUUCCCGCGGCCGCCAUGGCG
rnacentral:rRNA from 1 species